rnacentral:tRNA from 1 species
ACUCUUUUAGUAUAAACAGUACCAUUGACUUCCAAUCAAUAGGCCUCAGUUAAACUCUGGGAGGGAGUA